rnacentral:rRNA from 1 species
UGCCCUUUGUACACACCGCCCGUCGCUACUACCGAUUGAAUGGCUCAGUGAGGCGUCCGGACUGGCCCAGAGAGGUGGGCAACUACCACUCAGGGCCGGAAAGCUCUCCAAACUCGGUCAUUUAGAGGAAGUAAAAGUCGUAACAAGGUCUCCGUUGGUGAACCAGCGGAGGGAUCAUUACCGAGUUUACAACUCCCAAACCCCUGUGAACAUACCACUUGUUGCCUCGGCGGAUCAGCCCGCUCCCGGUAAAACGGGACGGCCCGCCAGAGGACCCCUAAACUCUGUUUCUAUAUGUAACUUCUGAGUAAAACCAUAAAUAAAUCAAAACUUUCAACAACGGAUCUCUUGGUUCUGGCAUCGAUGAAGAACGCAGCAAAAUGCGAUAAGUAAUGUGAAUUGCAGAAUUCAGUGAAUCAUCGAAUCUUUGAACGCACAUUGCGCCCGCCAGUAUUCUGGCGGGCAUGCCUGUUCGAGCGUCAUUUCAACCCUCAAGCCCUCGGGUUUGGUGUUGGGGAUCGGCGAGCCCUUGCGGCAAGCCGGCCCCGAAAUCUAGUGGCGGUCUCGCUGCAGCCUCCAUUGCGUAGUAGUAAAACCCUCGCAACUGGAACGCGGCGCGGCCAAGCCGUUAAACCCCCAACUUCUGAAUGUUGACCUCGGAUCAGGUAGGAAUACCCGCUGAACUUAAGCAUAUCAAUAAGCGGAGGAA